CUCUUCUAUUGAUAACUGCUUCCCCGGGUCAAAGCCCCUCCUCUAGCAAGCAAUGAACAAGAUCAUGAAGUCAAAUCCUGCUAUGUAUGUGCUGAGGGAGAGAAUAAGAAAGGGUCUUCAAUUGUCAUCCACACAAGUGUAUGGGCAGGACAAAAGCGUCUAGGGCAGCUGGCCAAGUGGAAAACAGCCGAGGAGGUUGCUGCACUAGUUCGAUCGCUUCCCGUUGAAGAGCAGCCAAAGCAAAUUAUUGUGACAAGGAAGUGUAUGUUGGAGUCCAUCUGCCAUUCCAAGCUUGCUUGAAGAUUGACAGGUUUGGUCUCAAGGCUACGGAACCGCAGAUGGUUCUUUAUAACAUAUACGAUGACUGGUUGAAAAGUAUCUCGUCCUACACUGCAUUCUCUCAUCUUGUGCUUAUACUACGAGCAUUACAUGUUAAUAAUGAGAAGGCCAAGAUGUUGCUGAAGCCUGACAAGACAAUGAUUAUGGAACUGCAUCAUAUCUGGCCAUCAAUCUUUGACUGAUGAGUAGUGUCUGAAGGUGGAAUGUGCGCUCAGAGAUAUCAUUCUUUCAGAUUAUGCAAAGAAAAACAAUGUUAAUACUGCUCCACCGUCACAGCAGAGGCAACAGAUAGCGGAGAUUGAGAAACAGUCCCGACAGCUAGGCAGCAGUUAAUUUGAUGAAAGAAAAUGAGAGUAUAAACUCAUAGCAUCGUCUGUUGUAAAAUUUCACAUCCAACCCACAAAGUUAGUCUUGCGCCAGCGACUGAUGCAAUGUAGUGAUGCAUGGUUGGAGCUCCUGAGAAAUACAAACAUACCACUCAGUUUAUUGCAAGUAUUUCUUAGUUCACCUUAUUACCAGAUGUGGUUAUUUGAAAAAAUGCAAUAUUCUUGAGUCGUUCACAAUUUGCAUUCGUGGGUGCAGUUUAUUUCACGGCAAAGAAGAUUGAUUAUAUGAACUUAUAUCAGAGAACUGCACCUACGUAGAAUCUACAGACACGGGAUGCAGGUUUCCUGUAUGGGCCGGAUAAUCCCCAAGUGGAGAUGAGAUGCAUAUCUAUUCCGCCACAGCAUGGAACUCACCGGCCAGAUGGUGACUUUGCCGGCGAAUCUCCCAGAUCAUGAGUUCCUUGCUGACUUGGAGCUGUUGGGACCCAGACAAAUGAAGCUCCUAAGCUAUCACCUCAGGAUUUGACAUCACAUGCUAAAAUUUUGGAGAGAAGAACAAACAGUGGGAUGGUGACAAGUGCAUCAUUUUGACUUGUCGGUGAACAUCUUUGGUCAGUGGUUAUGUUUGCGAGAACAAAAAAACCUAUCGUGGCCAGUGGCCAUCGCUUGUCAAACUGAUUCGUUAUCGUCAAGCGGAUGUUUUGCUUGGUGUUAUCAUCCUUGCCUCGUUGAUGCUUUGUGAUUGUUGAAGCAUCUGGUUGCUCUUGUUCUUAAGAUUGGAGUAGUUGCAGAUUUCUGUUGCUAGAUUGGAUUACUUGCAGAUUUCUGAGAGCAAAUCAGUUGGUCUGGGCCUGGUCAAUCCGCUAUUGCUUCAGCCAGUUCUGGGAUCAGUGGGAUGGUGACGCCUCGAAGAAUGUGGUCACGUAAUCACCACCCCCACGCCCAUCCUUUGAUCAUCAAUAGAACACUCCAGCAUCAACAUUACUUUUAACCAUCUUGGCACUGACGAUGAUGCCUCACACCUAGAGAUAGACACAUGGAAAUAAGACCGCUAUUGGAUAUGAGCCUCCUUCCUGAUCUUAUGCACAAUCCUUCAUGGUACAGGACCGCCUUUGCUAUUCCGUUCUUCGUUGCAUGCGUGCGUCCCAUAGAAACCAACACCUGACAGCAAUAGCAGUGGGUGUUUCUUCUUCUUUUUGACUAUUUUGACAGUAACUUGGAUUAUGAGGCAAUGAAUGGUUUCAACUCACUAUAUAUCUUGCAGAUACUUUGAGCGCCUCAAAGCACUGGUUUGUCGAUAUACUAUUACUGUUAGGCAUUCAAAUGUACCAGAUUAAGCAAGGGAAAGAAAGGCAACUUACCUCGAAAUCUGUGUUGCCCCCAAGCAAAGCGUUGUACAAAAAUGCAGCAGCAGUUGCGGGCAUGUCAAACAAGUGAUUUGAUUUGAUUUGCAGCCAAAGACUGAAAGGAAUUGCCCCUUGAGAACUUGGAAUAAGUGAUCAUAACUAAGAAUUAUAUAUCAGCAAGUGUAACUGUCUUGAAGAUGAUAAGCGUUGCACUGCCCCUCAGCUAUUGUUUCUGUUUCCGUGGAGCAUCAGUCAUAUAAUAUUUGGAGAGCUGACAUUGCCGGCACAUCUCAUAUGAUCGGAUAUUCUCAUGGCAGUACAUUUCUAAUGCUGUUUUGGCUUGAAUCAUCAAUUCUGUUGUACGUGCUUAUAGUAUUUGUGUGGGAUUAUAAUAUCUGAAGCUCUGGACAUGUACAGAAAAAGGAGGCACCUGCUUGGCGAGAAGCCAGCGCCUAUGGCGAAAGUCUAAAUUCAGAAUAUAUGCCUGGACUACUUUAGCCUUUUGCAUAGUUUUUUACUGGGCAGUAGUUCGACAAUUCACAGUAGCGUUUUAAGUAAGAGUAUUUGCAUGUGUGCAUCUUCAGCUGGUGCCUUUAUUUUCAGCCCUAUUUAUUUCCGUUUCAUGUCAAUGCAAGACCUUAUACAAUUGACGCAUGCUUUCCGAUUUCCUUAAGGAGGUUGAGGUAUGCAGUAUUUGUCAUGUCUGAGUUGUAACAAUGCCUUUCAGUUAGUAUGCUACAUGCUCAUUCAGAUUUUUGCUCAUCAAAUAAUCAUUCAGAUCAAAUGCUGAAUCUUGAUAAUGCCUUUCAGUUGUACGAUUACUUGUUCCAGGAUUUGUUCAUUUACUUGUCCCAGCCAACAACUCUCUAAUAUAAUGUAUCAUGAUCCGUUGAUUACUUGUUUCAGGAUUUAUGCGUUACUGUUUUUUUUAUCAACUAGCUAGCUGUUGCCUGUAGUGCAAAAUUUAUUUGGUGUUGGUGACUUGGAACGUUUCAUCCAGUGAGUUUCUCAACCGUCAUGAGCUCAAGUAUCCUGUAGGUGACUUGCAACUCUGGGUUGGCCUAGCAGUUGGUAAACUAAAUUCUUUAUGAGUAACAUGUAUGCCUGUAGUUUCUCUUCUCCCUGGUUUUAAUUUUCAGGGUUUUGUUCUCCAUGCUGUAAGAUGCUACUGAGCUCAAAUUGCAGGCCCUUGGAUUCACUCUGACGACUAUAUGACUACAGGAAAAUCACACUUGCGUCAUACUGGACAUGAAGCUUUAGGUCAUUUGGUGGAAGACGCAUCAACAAGCAGUUUCAUGAUAUAAGUCUACAUACCACAGGCUCGAUGAAACUGCAGUUCUCCAGCUUGUGGCAGCGAAUCAUCACGUGUGAUCUUGAUGGCUGAUCAGGCAUGUUCUUGCUCAUUACUUCAACUUCAAAGUGCACAUUUCUGUAGUUAUUUUAGGUGUGUGUAGCCUGCUAUGGUGCUCAUCAGGUUCUUACUUUCAAAGUGGAAACCUGUCUUUAGAUAUUUCAGUCAAGCUCAUAGGUGCAAUUUAGCUGUUCUUCUUGCAACAUUUGUUACUGCUUGAUUGCCCAGGAGUUAUAAUCUUUGUUA